rnacentral:rRNA from 1 species
UACGGGGGGGGCAAGCGUUGUUCGGAUUUACUGGGCGUAAAGGGCGCGUAGGCGGUCGUGACAAGUCACUUGUGAAAUCUCCGGGCUUAACUCGGAACGGUCAAGUGAUACUGUCGGACUAGAGUACAGAAGGGGCAACUGGAAUUCUCGGUGUAGCGGUGAAAUGCGUAGAUAUCGAGAGGAACACCUGCGGCGAAGGCGGGUCUCUGGGCAGUAACUGACGCUGAGGAGCGAAAGCGUGGGGAGCGAACAGG